AAAAAGGAAACGGCAGAAUCGUCUCUUCUCGCCAGUUCCUAGGGUUUUUUUAACCCAAAAUCUCCGCAGGGUUUCCAGGUAAUUUAUUCGAAACUUUGAUUGGAGAUGUCUCGGGUGUAUAUUGGAAAUCUGGAUCCACGGGUAUCUGAACGCGAUCUCGAGGACGAGUUUCGCGUUUUUGGGGUUAUAAGAAGUGUCUGGGUUGCCAGAAGACCUCCUGGUUAUGCUUUCAUUGAUUUUGAUGAUCCAAGGGAUGCGCAAGAUGCCAUAAGGGAAGUUGAUGGUAAAAAUGGUUGGAGAGUGGAGCUUUCCCACAACUCCAGAGGUGGAGGCGGUGGUGGUCGAGGUGGGGGUCGUGGGCGUUCUGGUUCUGAUUCCAAAUGCUAUGAAUGUGGUGAGCCUGGCCAUUUUGCUCGUGAGUGCCGAAAUAGGGGUGGUUCUGGAAGGCGCAGGAGUCGCACCCCCCCUAGAUAUCGCCGUAGCCCAAGUUAUGGUCGGAGGAGUUACAGUCCUCGUGAUCGUUCUCCUCGACGCCGCAGUUUAUCUCCCAGAGGUCCUGCCUAUAGCAGGUCCCCUCCUUAUCGUGGACGAGAUGAAGUGCCAUAUGCCAAUGGAGACGAUGUUAGGGAAAGGCGCAGAACCAGGAGCCGGAGCAGAAGCUGAACUUUGAAAAUUUAUUAGUAGUUUCGAAUCUAUACAGAGGGUUCUUUGAACUGUGUGUUUACUGUGCUUGGACUUAACUAGCCCUAUGUAAGCAGGGCCACGCCCUCAGCUUCAACUCGGGAUUUGCUUGUCUUUACUCUACUUCAGUUCUGAGGUCUCUGCACGGCACUGCUUCAUUGGUUUUCUGCAUCUGUCUGCACUUGUGCGUGGGAUCUUCAAUUCGAUAGAUUGUGGAUCCCAGCUGGCUACACUGCUAGAUGCCAUGUUUGUUGCGUGCUCUGCUCUGCUCUCUUCAAAUUGAGUUUUUCGAUUAGGACUAAAGAUGAAGAGAUAAAUGCUUUGCACACUUCUCGCCGGCAUAUAGUCUCCGCCUGUGCUUGCUUGCAGCCAUUGAUUAACUCACCCUUUUAGGUUGUCAUGUUUUUCUUAAAAAAAAAAAUCGGAUCUUUCCCGGCUAUCUAUUCUGAACUAGAGGCAGGUUUAGAGUGGCAAAAACCACACCCUUGCACAAACAUGAAAAUGCCAAGAUUUGCCCUAUAACUUAGCACACCUUCUUUACCCCCCCUACCCCACCCCACCCUCCAACUUUAUACUUUGUGUUUGGAUUCAUUCAUUGGAUUUUUUAUUUUUUUUAAAUUUUUUUUGGGUGUAUUGGUGAAAAUGGAAUUGUUAUUUUAGAGUGGCUCUUGGGAUCUGCAA